CCCGGGUUGUUAUUUUGAGUAAUAACAAGGACUUCUCUGUCUGGGUAGUUGCUUCCGGAGCUUGAUGUUGCAAUCUCUGUGGAGCUUUCCUCAUGAUUGGAAGUGAGUGGGACACCCUCUUGAUAUGGGAGGUUGUCUAUAUGGGCGACAAGGCGUGAGUCGUAGUCGCGGUCAAGAAGAGGUGGUGUCAAACCUGGCCAAUGU
rnacentral:lncRNA from 1 species